AGCGAACGCUGGCGGCAGGCCUAACACAUGCAAGUCGAACGGAUCCUUCGGGAUUAGUGGCGGACGGGUGAGUAACACGUGGGAACGUGCCCUUUGGUUCGGAACAACUCAGGGAAACUUGAGCUAAUACCGGAUGUGCCCUUCGGGGGAAAGAUUUAUCGCCAUUGGAGCGGCCCGCGUCUGAUUAGCUAGUUGGUGAGGUAACGGCCCACCAAGGCGACGAUCAGUAGCUGGUCUGAGAGGAUGAUCAGCCACACUGGGACUGAGACACGGCCCAGACUCCUACGGGAGGCAGCAGUGGGGAAUCUUGCGCAAUGGGCGAAAGCCUGACGCAGCCAUGCCGCGUGAAUGAUGAAGGUCUUAGGAUUGUAAAAUUCUUUCGGCGGGGACGAUAAUGACGGUACCCGCAGAAGAAGCUCCGGCUAACUUCGUG
rnacentral:rRNA from 1 species